CCGCCCCCAGGGUGCGCAACAGCCACGUUAAGGAGGAUCCUGCGCCCGGCCCGCCUGGUGCGCACAGCCCCGCCCUGAACCCUGGGCAGCGCUGACACUGAGCUGGGCUGGUGCGAGACCUGGGGCGGGGCCACUGCACCCAGCACCCUGCCCUGACUGUAAAGUCAGGCGGCCUGCUCCUGUUCCGCCUCCUACCGGCCCGCCUGUUUUUUCGCCUGUGGCUUAGGAACUCCAGCCUCACCUGAUCUCCGAAUGGACCUCAGCUGCUCCUGCGCCACUGGUAAAGGAUGCCUGGUUUCGGGUCUUAGGAUCUUCAUUUUCAUACCACAGAAUAGAACAUCCCUGGGGCAGGAGGUGGCUCCUGCACCUGUGCCAGCUCCUGCAAAUGCAAAGAGUACAAAUGCACCUCCUGCAAGAAGAGUGAGUGUGGGGC
rnacentral:lncRNA from 1 species